UGGGGAAUUUUGCACAAUGGGCGGAAGCCUGAUGCAGCGACGCCGUGUGGGGGAUGAAGGCCUUCGGGUUGUAAACUCCUUUCGUCAGGGACGAAGUUUGUUUGACGGUACCUGGAUAAGAAGCACCGGCUAACUACGUGCCAGCAGCCGCGGUAAUACGUAGGGUGCGAGCGUUGUCCGGAUUUACUGGGCGUAAAGGGCUCGUAGGUGGAGUGUUGCGUCGUCUGUGUAAUCCAGGGGCUUAACUUUUGGUUGGCAGGCGAUACGGGCAUUGCUUGAGUGCUGUAGGGGAGACUGGAAUUCCUGGUGUGGCGGUGAAAUGCGCAGAUAUCAGAAGGAACACCGAUGGCGAAGGCAGGUCUCUGGGCAGUUACUGACGCUGAGGAGCGAGAGCAUGGGUAGCGAACAGG
rnacentral:rRNA from 1 species